rnacentral:rRNA from 1 species
CCUACGGGUGGCAGCAGUGAGGAAUAGUGGGCAAUGGGGGAAACCCUGAUGCAGCGACGCCGCGUGAGUGAAGAAGUAAUGCGGUACGUAAAGCUCGAUCAGCAGGGAAGAAACACUGACCUUACGGUCAGCAGACGGUAUCGGAGGAAGAAGCCCCGGCUAACUACGUGCCAGCAGCCGCGGUAAUACGUAGGGGGCAAGCGUUCUCCGGAUUUAAUGGGUGGAAAGGGAGCGUAGACGGUGCGCCAAGUCUGGAGUGAAAUGCCGCAGCUUAACGGCGGAACUGCUUUGGAAACUGGCGAACUAGAGUGCGGGCGUGGUAAGCGGACUUCCUCGUGUAGCGGUGAAAUGCGUAGCUAUUAGGAGGCACCCCGGUGGCGAAGGCGGCUUACUGGACCGUAACUGACGUUGAGGCUCGAAAGCGUGGGGAGCAAACAGGCUUAGCUACCCUUGUAGUC